rnacentral:rRNA from 1 species
UCUAGCCAUGGGCAGGUUGAAGGUUGGGUAACACUAACUGGAGGACCGAACCGACUAAUGUUGAAAAAUUAGCGGAUGACUUGUGGCUGGGGGUGAAAGGCCAAUCAAACCGGGAGAUAGCUGGUUCUCCCCGAAAGCUAUUUAGGUAGCGCCUCGUGAAUUCAUCUCCGGGGGUAGAGCACUGUUUCGGCAAGGGGGUCAUCCCGACUUACCAACCCGAUGCAAACUGCGAAUACCGGAGAAUGUUAUCACGGGAGACACACGGCGGGUGCUAACGUCCGUCGUGAAGAGGGAAACAACCCAGACCGCCAGCUAAGGUCCCAAAGUCAUGGUUAAGUGGGAAACGAUGUGGGAAGGCCCAGACAGCCAGGAUGUUGGCUUAGAAGCAGCCAUCAUUUAAAGAAAGCGUAAUAGCUCACUGGUCGAGUCGGCCUGCGCGGAAGAUGUAACGGGGCUAAACCAUGCACCGAAGCUGCGGCAGCGACGCUUAUGCGUUGUUGGGUA